UACGAGAGGCCCAAACGUUAUUCGGAAUUACUGGGCUUAAAGAGUUCGUAGGCGGCGCAGAAAGUCGGGUGUGAAAGCCCUCGGCUUAACCGAGGAAUUGCGCUCUAAACUACUGUGCUUGAGGAAUCUAGAGGUGAGCGGAACUGAUGGUGGAGCGGUGAAAUGCGUUGAUAUCAUCAGGAACACCGGAGGCGAAGGCGGCUCACUGGGGAUUUUCUGACGCUGAGGAACGAAAGCCAGGGGAGCGAACGGG
rnacentral:rRNA from 1 species